rnacentral:piRNA from 1 species
UAAGACAGACUGUCAGGGCUUUUGAAA